AUGGCUGUAACGGGAUUUCAAGAUGACGCCUAUCUCGUUGGCAAACCCAUUUCCCGUUUCACCUAUUUCGCCGUGUCCUAGAUCUCCUCUUCGUCCGUCCAUCCUCUUCCUAGUGUCCUAAGUUUCUCAACCCGUGUCCUCCACUACCGAGUGUCAUCCACUGCCCCCCACCUCCCCCAUCGGGUGUUCCGCUACCUGAAUCCGCCGGGAUUAAGCUGCUUCAUCUCCGUCGGCUUCUCCCCUCCUCUUCCUCUCCCGAGCGUAGAGGAGCACCUCUGCCGUCGAUCGAGCGAUCAAUGAAGGGGAAACAGAGUUGGUGGACAUUGCGAGGUUUUGAGCUUAGAAGAUAAAGUGGUUUCCAUCUGAUUUUUUUUUCCUGGGUUUUUUCUUGGAUUUUGGCUAUUACUGGGAUUCCUACUGGUUCUUCAUUAUUUCUGGUAUUAAUCGAGUUUGCCUUUUGGAAAUGGAGAUGAAAUUAUUGUUUUUGGUGAUUUUUUUUCAAUUAAUUUUGAUCUAGAGUGUUACAGAAAGGGGAUCUUUUAGGGACCGGCUGUUGUUGAAUCAAGGGGAUCUUUUAGUGUGUGCUCAAUGGAGAUUCAUGGUGUACUGGUUUGAUUGUGAUUUAAAAACAUAAUUUC